AUUGAACGCUGGCGGCAUGCUUUACACAUGCAAGUCGAACGGCAGCGCGGGCUUCGGCCUGGCGGCGAGUGGCGAACGGGUGAGUAAUGCAUCGGAACGUGCCCAGUAGUGGGGGAUAGCCCGGCGAAGGCCGGAUUAAUACCGCAUACGACCUGAGGGUGAAGGCGGGGGACCGAAAGGCCUCGCGCUAUUGGAGCGGCCGAUGUCGGAUUAGCUAGUUGGUGGGGUAAAGGCUUACCAAGGCGACGAUCCGUAGCUGGUCUGAGAGGACGACCAGCCACCCUGGAACUGAGACACGGCCCAGACUCCUACGGGAGGCAGCAGUGGGGAAUUUUGGACAAUGGGGGCAACCCUGAUCCAGCCAUGCCGCGUGCGGGAAGAAGGCCUUCGGGUUGUAAACCGCUUUUGUUCGGGAAGAAAUCCUCUGGGCUAAUACCCCGGGGGGAUGACGGUACCGGAAGAAUAAGCACCGGCUAACUACGUG
rnacentral:rRNA from 1 species